CGCAUCUGUGCAUGCAGCAUAUCAAUAAGCGGAGGAAAAGGAAACUAACAAGGAUUCCCUUAGUAACGGCAAGUGAAGCGGGAAGAGCUCAAAUUUGAAAUCUUCAAGGUUUUACCUUGACGAAUUGUAGUUUAAAGAAGUGUUUUCUGCUGAAGUUUUGGUAAAAGUUCUUUGGAAUAGGACAUCAUAGAGGGUGAGAAUCCCGUAUUUGACCAUUAUUUUCAGCUUUGUGAUACACUUUCAAAGAGUCGGAUUGUUUGGGAAUGCAGUCCAAAAUGGGUGGUAAAUUUCAUCUAAAGCUAAAUAUUGGCGAGAGACCGAUAGCGAACAAGUACCGUGAGGGAAAGAUGAAAAGAACUUUGAAAAGAGAGUUAAACAGUACGUGAAAAUUGUCAAAAGGGAAGCGUUUGACACCAGUGUUGUUUUCUCGAAAAUCAAUUAAAAAUGGCUCGAUUUUGUAUUGCUUGAGACCUUAAAAGCUCACUGUACAUUUUUCGUGUCUUUUUUAAUGCACUUUUCGUUUAACAAGUCAACAUCAGUUUCUUUUGUUGUAAAAGGGUCAUUGGAAGGUGGCUUUCUUUUCGGAGAAAGUGUUUAUAGCCUUUGGCCUCUGCAAUCGAAGAGACUGAGGUCUGCAGCGUAGACUCUUCGGGGUUAGAUACAUUUGUGCUAAGUUAUAGCUUUUUAUAGACAACUUGUUGACUAUAAUUAGUCUUGUAGCUUACUCGCUUAUGCUAUUUUACCUACGCUUAGGAUGUUGACGCAUGAGAUAUACGC
rnacentral:rRNA from 1 species